UCCUCUCAAGUCUAACCGAAGCCCAACAAACCACCACCUCGGCCAUGGCAACCACCCUCGCCACCGACGUCCGCCUCUCCAUCGCGCACCAGACCCGCUUCGCCCUCCGUCUCGCCUCCACCAUCUCAUCCGCCCUAAGUCUGCUGCCAGCAAUGCCGCCUUCUCCCCGGUCUCCCUCCACUCCGCACUUAGCCUCCUCGACGCUGGCGCGGGCAGUGCCACUCGGGACCAACUCGUCGCCACACUCGGGACAGGCGAGGUCGAGGGACUCCACGCGCUCGCCGAGCAGGUGGUCCAGUUUGUGCUCGCCGACGCGUCCUCUGCUGGAGGUCCGCGUGUCGCCUUUGCCAAUGGCGUCUUCGUGGACGCGUCGCUGCUCCUCAAGCCAUCCUUCCAAGAGAUUGCAGUGUGCAAGUACAAGGCCGAGACCCAAUCCAUGGACUUCCAAACUAAGGUGACCCCCCCCCCCAACUUGGUUCUUACCAGAAAACAAAAACAAUGUAAAAGAAUUUUUAACGGACCUAAUUAUGUACAUUUGAGAGAAACAAUGACAUGCUUAACUAACUACUUCAGCCGCCUGUACAUGUUGGCAUGCCACUGCUUCACUCAGAGAGUUUGUUUUCUGCUGAUGUAAUAUAGAGGUCUAUAUUAAUCUUAUACACAUUCUAGAUUUGUAAUUUAGUGGUUAUCGUAUAUCACUGUUUUUUACACUAGAAGCUUCACCUUUGUAAGCAUAGUUCACACCUGCGACCUUGAACUGUGAAUGAUUUUGCUUAUCCUGUUAGUCAGCAUGAUUGGAGAUAACUAGUCUGUUACUUUUCUGAGCAUACCUAAUCUUUUGGGAGUGUAAUUCUCAUACCGUGCUAUCUAGGGAUAUGAAGGCUGGGGAAUUUGCUGAUGUUUUAUACUUUAAUUACGCUCUUCAGCGAAGUGAGAUUAUAAUUUUGGGAGUAUUUCCUGGAAACUUUGUCUCCAACGUAAGAAGAUGUACAAAAAAUCAGCUAAAGAUUAUAAUUUUGGGAAUAUUUCUGUAAAAGGUAUUGCAUAGUGGUGCUUCGAGAUGUUGUGAUGACCAUUUAAAUUUGUAUGCUCAUAUGAAUUGUUUUUCUAUCAUACGUCGUUGUAUGUGCUGAUUUUACUAUGUGUUUGAAAAUUUUACUAUAGAAAUGCUUUAUAAAAACGCUAGUAUGCUGCUUUGCAUUCUUAGCACAACUAUUAUAUUUUGUUCUUUGAAAGAAUUUUCUAUUGGUUUGUUCAAAGGUUGGUGGCACAGCAGUACCGUCAAACUAUUUUCAUUACAUAACUGACCUUUGUUUAUUUUUUCCAUGGCCCAGGCCGCUGAAGUUACUACUCAAGUGAACUCAUGGGUAGAGAAAGUCACGAGCGGUCGCAUCAAGGACAUUCUCCCCUCAGGAUCUAUUGACAAUACCACUAAACUUGUUCUUGCCAAUGCCCUUUAUUUCAAAGGAGCUUGGACAGAGCAGUUUGAUUCAUAUGGAACAAAAAACGACUACUUCUACCUUCUUGAUGGGAGCUCAGUUCAAACACCAUUCAUGUCCAGCAUGGAUGACCAAUACCUUUUGUCUUCUGAUGGGUUGAAGGUACUUAAGCUUCCUUACAAGCAAGGUGGGGACAAUAGGCAGUUCUCCAUGUAUAUCCUUCUUCCAGAAGCACCGGGUGGUCUCUCAAGCUUGGCCGAAAAAUUGAGUGCUGAACCAGACUUCCUGGAGCGGCAUAUCCCAAGGCAGAGGGUUGCACUUAGGCAAUUCAAGCUCCCCAAGUUCAAGAUAUCAUUUGGAAUUGAAGCAUCCGAUUUGCUCAAAUGUUUGGGCCUCCAGCUUCCAUUCGGCGAUGAAGCGGAUUUUUCGGAGAUGGUGGAUUCCCUAAUGCCACAAGGUCUUCGUGUCUCAUAUGUUUUCCACCAAGCGUUUGUGGAAGUGAACGAACAAGGAACUGAGGCUGCAGCAUCAACUACUAUUAAAAUGGUCCCGCAACAGGCAAGGCCGCCCUCGGUCAUGGAUUUCAUCGCGGAUCACCCUUUCCUCUUCCUUCUCCGGGAAGACAUCUCUGGUGUGGUCCUAUUCAUGGGUCAUGUGGUCAAUCCCCUCUUAUCUUCGUAAUGUGUUUGCUCUGAAAGUGUGUGUUGUCAGUUGCCCUCAGCCAUUACAUGUAAGGGAAGGGUUUCGACGGUCAGUCAUGUUACCGAUACAAUAAAUCCAAUAAAUGGUUCUCCUAAGAUAUCCAAUAAAUUGUCUUUUAAUAACUGCUUGCUUGUUGUGCAAAGGAAAACCAAUUGGACUAUUUUUCAUUAAUCAUUGUGGAUUUGUGGUAGUGCGGAUUUCUCAAAGAACUACUCAUGCCAAAAGAAAAAAUCUAAGUCAUCUUGAUUAGUACUAUCCGACAUGAAUCUCAUCGUCAUUAACAUCUAUAUUUCACAAAAAAAUGCCAAUGGCCACUUUUUGAGAUUGAAUAUGCUCUUCAAUUUCUCUUCUUCUUAGAUUUUUCAUAUCCUCGCUUAUCUUUAGAUACACUAUAACUCCUUGAGAUUGGAGCUCCCAGGGCCGAUUGUGUUGAUCGAUUUACAUGGCCCCACAUGAACGGACGUGACCUUCCACGCUACCCUCUUCCUUGCCGCAGAUCCUUCCUCAGUUUCUCUCCCUUCCGAGAAUCUAUUCCGACAUAGAGACAACGCCUCCAGCACUAUAGUUGGUGCGGCCGACCGCUUUCUGGCUCUCCUCUCCGAUUCCCUGCCUCAGAGCAUCUACAGCCUCAAACACGGUGUGUCUGCGGGCACUGAUCGGUCACUUCACAAAUUGGCAUCUACAUUCGUGUAUUUCAUAUCAGAUCUCCUAUAUCCAUACUAAACUAUGUAGCAUUGAUCAAACUACGUAUAUCAUCAAACGGACAAAAAAUGCACUAUACGUUCAUCAAAAGAUCAUCAACGGAUCUUCGAAAUACCGCCAAAGUUCACAUAGUGCACAUAAAUGACGGACAACUUUAAACUACGUCUAAAAACUGAGCGGAUCUUCAUCACUUCCUCGCCGGAACUUUCCCUUUUCGGUCGCCAGCACAGCUGUAGGCGUCGGCGGCUGGUGGAGGAUCGUCCGAGUCGUCGGACGAGGCGCCGUGGUCGUCACUAUCGUCAGAGGAGGAGCAGAGGAUGAUGAGGCGUUUGAGGCGCCGGACGGCCCGGUCCUGCUGCCGUUUGAGCUCCGCCAGCCGAGCCGCCUCCAAUGCUUUCUCCUCUGCCUCGCGCUCGAACUGCUCGAUGGCAAGCCGGAGCACCUUGGCGUUCUUCCAGCGGAGCUGCCGAUCAUCCGUCUCCGCUGUCGUAAGCGACCGGCAGUAGACCCAAGUGGGGAACCGCUCGUCCCCGUCGAGCUCCGCCGGAAACCCGCGGCGGCGGCGGACAUAUUACUCCUCCGCGUCCCUCUCCCUUGCCCGCUGCCUGCGGUGGCGGGCGUCGGACAGAUUUCUCCGCCGCGUCCCUCUUCCUUGCUCGCUGCCUGUCGUGGCGGGCGGCGCGCGCCUAGCGUGCAUGCCGCGCUCGCUGGGCGGGCACAAGUACCCACCGCUACCCAUGUGGGGGAGCAGCAGCCGACGAGGACAGGGGAUAGUGUGGGGGAGGCGCGGACUGCGCAGCCCUCGUGGCGCUGCGUGUGGGCCGGGAGGGGCCUGCGCCGGCGUCCUCGCUGCGCUGGAAGGGGAGAGGUGAGGCGGCAGAUCCGGAACUGACCUCCGUGUCCACCUUGGACCUCUCGACGGCAAUGCGGAGAGCCAGCACCUCGUCGAUGUUGACGUCAGAGUCGGAGCGGCUGCCGGAACUAGACAUGGUCGCCGGAGUCGUUUGACUGAAUCGAAUCUGGGAAAUCCGAGGAGGAGAAGAGAUGAAACGAGAGCGGAGCGAGGUAGGGUUUUCGAUUGGGGAUAUUUGUGGUGACGGCGUGGGGCCGGUGUGGACCGGGCUACCAUGGCGGACGCACCCGGGGCGCUCGAUAUCCGCCCUAGAUUUGAUCUGAAUAUGAGGGGAGUGAGACAGUCCAAGCAUUUGAGGCUUGUUUGAGGACACGUCUGGAUCAAAUUUUCAUGCUCGGUCAAUGAUCGCGCCAUCCGUCCGGACGUUUGAGACGGAUUUAGAAUGCGCGCCUGUAGAUGCUCUCGGCCUCAAUCUUUCGCCUCCAAACGUUCCCCCGCGACCAACCCAAUCCAGGCCUCGUUCACCGUCUAGCAGUCGUCUGCGCCGCCUCCCGCAAUUCCUCCGACCUCCGGUGCAACACUUCAUGUAACUUCCCUGGAUCAUCGCGCUUCCCGCGCCGUCUCGUCGACAGUCGACGUGCGCUUCUCAUGUUCAAUUUUUCAAGGAUAGUGUCACCGCUUUUUUCUCAUAGUGUUUGGCUGCUCGAUCACCUGGCCGCUGUUAAUCUCAUCUCGGUGAUGCAGCAAACAAAGGAGAGUGCGGGUCUGCAGUUCAAGGUCAGACUGCAGUGCAACUGUGCAAUGUAAGUUUGACUGACACGCUUGGAUCUGCCGCGUCUUUGUGCUGGGUGCUAGUCGCUGCCCUGCUAGAUGCAUGGAAGAGUUGCAUGUAUACACACCGGUGUUGAGCGUUGGUGGCCUCAUUGGUGACUGUCGUGGUUCUAAGUCUGACAAUAGAAUGGGGGGUAAGUAUGGAAAGGCAAGGUCCUAGCUAUGGAGUAGUUGUACACACGGGUGUUUAGCGAGUUUAGACCCUUCUCUGAGGAAGUAACAGCCCUACGUCUCGGAGCCCGGAGGCGGUCGACUGAUCUCUAUGUAUAUGAGUUACAGAAGUGCGAACCUUUCUACCAGUGGAGGGGGGUGGCUUAUAUAGAGGACGCCAGGACCCCAGCCAGCCCACAUAGAGGAGGGUUAAAGUACAUUAAGGCUGGGCGUUACUGGUAACGCCCUAUAUAAAGUGUCAUCAUGACCAUUAAGACUAUUUAAUUACAGACCGUUUGGAUGCAGAGUAGAUCCUGAACUUCCGAUAGUCGAGUGCGUCUUCAUGGUCGAGUGUCUUCUAGCUAGUCGGGUGGAGUCUCCCUUGGUAGAGUGGAGCUUCUUUUGGUCGACCGGAAGGUAGCUUCGUAUGAUAAUGUCCUUUGGCAUGGUAUCCUAGAUAGGUCCAUGACCCUAACCUAGGUACAUAACCUCAUCAUUAGCCCCCGAAUGGAUCGAGGUUCGAGUGAGGAAGGAGUUGACGAUUUUCUCCGACUUAUUUACUGUACUUUGAUUGUGUCGUAUCUUGGAUCGGCGAUUCUUCUUUCGGCGCUGGCGUCGACUUUUACUUCAGUCGCCUUGAUCCAUUCUUAUCUUUUGUCGAGUGAACUUUUGAACUCCGGUGAACUUACGAGCGACGGAUCGCGGGAAGGAUAUCGUCUGACAGAUUGAUCUGCUGUUAGCGGAUUUUGCGGGAUCUGAAAUUUGGGAAGCGCACGAAGCGGGGCAAUCCGCGGCAAUCGGGCGGGAUAAGGCAUGGACGCCUUGAUUUCCGCGUCGCCUUUUUCGCCACGUAUCGUACGUGUGCGACUGUUUCGGGAUGUGACAGAUCUGCUCGGACCCACUCGUCAGCCACUCGGAAGCGCCCUUAUAUAAAGCGUCGGGGAAGAGUUUUUGAACAGUGCCUCCCCAUUCUCCUCUCUUCCCUCUCUGCCUCCGCCCACGGCGCCUGCUCCUAGCUCCGCCUUAUCCACCUCUCGAGCGCUUCGCCGACGAUAAUGGUGAAGGAGAAGACGGCGGUUCUAGAGCGCGCGAAGAAGGUGACGGCGACGGGGCAAGCGAAGGGGAGACCGUCCAGUCGGGGCGGAUCUUCGUCGAGGUCCCGCCUGCCGAAGGGUUGGGUCCAAGGGGAUUGGAUCCGCUCGACCAUCACUGGGAAGGACCUCGACGACCUGGCCAAUGAGGGACUGAUCCCCCACGGGUCAGCAAGGCCCCCGGGGUCCGAGUGUCAACCGCAGCCGCAGGAGGGUGAGCGCGUUCUCUUAGCCACUCACGUAGAUCGUGGUUUUUCUCUGCCGCCGAGUGUGUUCUUCCGUGGGUUUCUGAAAUUCUUUGGGGCGCAACUCCACCAUUUCAAUCCCAAUUCCAUCGCCUAUCUUGCUGCCUUUGUGUCCAUGUGCGAGAACUUCCUGGGUUGUCGACCGCACUGGGGUCUCUUCAAGCACAUAUUCACCUGUCGGUCGCAGACCGUAAAAAAGGCGAGCUCGGGUGAUGAGAGGACCAAGGUUAUUCAGAUGUGCGGGGGUCUUGGGAUUCAGUUGAGGAAUAAGAGCACUUUCCCGGCCAUGACCCUUCCUGAGUCGGUCAGAGGGUGGCAGUCGACUUGAUUCUACUGCCAAGACGAGUCGACGCCGGGGCAGUCGACUGGUCUCCCUCCGUUCUCCAUGGACCGAGUGGUCAAACCGUCUUCUCUGAAGGUGCUUCCUGAGGAGAAAGCCGAGGUAAAAAUGUUGGUGGAGCGCAUGGUCCAACUCGUUCGGGACGGAGUGACGGGCAUGGAUCUUCUGAAAGUAUUCCUUAGGCGGCGCAUCCAACCGCUCCAGUAUCGAGGCCACCCGAUGUGGUUGUACUGCGGUACCGAAGACACCACUCGGGUCCAUCCAGAGGCAGUCGACGACGCCACGCUGGAGAGGUGGGUGACCUCCAUCACAGGGAACAAGGACAACCGUCGAGGAGUGAGGAGGAUCCCGCCACUCGACUGUACCUAUACGCCGGACAAGGUAUGGCCGCUUAUCUCCGAGUGUAAUUUUGUUUUAUCCAUUCUGCUUUGCCACAAAUUGGUCGAUUGAUCUUUGUUUUGCUCUGUUGUCUGAUAGGCCACCACUGAAUUGUACUCGAUUCCCAAUGGGGCGCAGACGCCGACUGAGGAGGAGGAAGGAAGCGGGGGCGAAAGCCCGGAGGAGUGGGAUUCAGAUGUCGACGACGACGAUGAGGGUGAUGACUCUAGUGAGGAGGAAGAAGAGGAGGAAGAGGAGGAAGUUGCACCUCCCCGCUCGGAAAGACGCUCGAAGCUUGCCCAUGAUCCAGCGACUGAGCGGGGUAAGGGGGUCGCAACCGCUUCUCAGUCGACCAAGCGCCCUCGGACCACUUCUCCGGCGCCGACUGAGAAGGCUCCGAAGCAAUCUCGAGUGGCACCGUCGAAGCCUGCAAAGGUCUUGCCGAAGAUGAAGAUGGUGAUCCCCACUAUCUCAGGGUAAUGGUAGUUUUGAGCUUUCCCUGUUUCAUGAACUUGUUCUUGGUCGACUCAUGGUCCAAUCGACUGACUUUUGGAACUGCAGCGUUGCUACUUCCGACACUUCGGCGAGAGCCGAAGACCACGAGAUGGAGGAUGCUGCAACCUCGAACCCUGGUAUGACUCCUGCGUUGCCGUUUUCAGUCGACUGACUCAUUGUCUCUAAUUUUUAUUCUUUCUGCAGUUUCAUCUAACAUUGUUAUUGACCUUCCUGACGACGACGAUGAAUAACCACCACGGCCGAGGAAAAGCAAGAAAACGUCGGCUGGCAAGGCGACUCAGGAUGUGCCGGCACCCGAGACGUUAGUCGUGGAGGGAGACAAUGUCACUCGACCCACCGUAACCUUCGCGGUGCCGUUGAUGAGUGCUCGCCCUUCAUCGUCGAGUGCUGCUCAACCCUCGCUUUUCUCCACCUACCCCGUUCCAGAAGACCAAGCCAGUGCUGCCAAAGAAGCGAUACGCCAGGCGGGGGUCAUGAUGGAGCAAGUGAAGGCAAUUCGAGAAGCCAGCCAGGCAGCCUAUGACGCCAGUUCGGCACUCCAGAGUAAUGUUCAGGUCAGUCGGUCACUGCCUGUUCUUCUUUCUGAAAUUCCUAGAGUCUGUCCUACACCCAGUGGGUGUGUGUCGAUUAAAAUUCCGGGUUAGUGGGGGCACGCUGAGUGCACCCACUGGGUGUAGUCCCCAAGGCUAUGGUGGACUGCUGGCAGUCGACCAUAGUCUUAAUGCUUUGAGUUUUUCUUUACUCGACAAGGUCGAAUAGAUUCAUAGACCGGUGGGGGCACGCUGAGUGCACCCACUGGGUGUAGUCCCCGAGACUGUGGUCGACUGCUGGCAGUUGACUAUAGUCUAAAGAACAUUGCCUCUCUUUUUUUUGUUGGUCGACUAGUCGACUCUUGAUGAAACUAGUGGGGGCACGCUGAGUGCACCCACUGGGUGUAGUCCCCGAGACUAUGGUCGAAUGUUUGCAUUCGACCGUAGUCUUAGAAACGCUAUGAUUUUUCCUUACUCACUCGGAAGUGAAUUUUCUUUGACGUCUGUCGAUUGAUUCUUCGUAGAAAUCAUGUGACCUUGUGGCUCGUUAUACUGAGUUGGAGAACAAACACAUUCAGCUCGAGCUCGAUCUGAAACUGGCCCAAGAGACCUUGACGAAGGCGAAGGAGGAAGCUAAAGGUAUGCUUGGUGAGGCCUUUGACGACUGCCUUUGCCUCUCACUUGUUUCCGAAUCUGAUCUCACUGUAACUUUGUAGGCAAAGUGAUGGACGCCCUGAAGAAACAAGAGCUUGACUUGGCUGAGAUGCAAAAGACUGCUUUAGAGAAGACCAGGCUAGCGGAUGAGAAGCUGGCUUCAGUGACUAAGCUUGAAGAAGAAAACACCAAUCUGAAAGCUGCUCUUGAUGCUGCCAACCAGGAGGUCACUUAACUGAAAAGCGACAAGACCACCCUGAAUGACAAGGCCAGUGAGUUGAAGAGAAAGAAGAAUGAUCUAGAGGCUUAUCUGGGUGGACUCGCCAAGAAGUUGUUCCUCAUGCUUGAAGGUAAUCCUUUGUAUCGAACAAAUAUUUUAAUUGUAACCUCUGACUGUUUGUCUUGACUCGGUGGUUGUGCUUGCAGAAUUUUGUCAGAACUUUGAAGAGGAGACUGGUCGACUGGAAGUGAACCUGGACCCCAUCAACUCUCCUGUGAAAGAUGAAGUUGCCAUGAACAUGCUCCGACUUGAAUCUCGUGUUGCUGCUAUCAUCGAUUAUCUCGCAAGGCUGAAGGUCGCAACUUCCUGCAUCGACACAACACUCUGGCCAAGAGAGACACUCCAGAACGACCUCGAGUCUCUGAUGACUCGACUGAACGAGGUCCCAAGUCGAGUGCAGGAGUGGAAGAAGUCUUCGGCCAGGUGUGGCGCGGAUGUUGCUCUAUCUCUGGUCCGCGUUCACUGCAAGGAUGCAUGAGAGGACAAGCUGGUGGCUCUCAGGGUGGCCAACACCAAGAAGCACGAUUUCAGAUCCUUCAUGGAGACCUUCAUUGCCGCUGCCACUCGGAUUGCAGAUGGAAUCGAUCUGGACGAGUUUGUGGCACCUUCCAGCCCUCCACAGGAGGGGUAAAAAACUUUUGAGCUUGAUACUUUAAAUUUGCCUCGGUAUGCCGAGUGAGUUUUGUAACCGACAAACCUUAACAGGCCUAGCGCCUGAGCACUUUCGGUUCCGCUAGGUGUUAUCCAAACUUGGGUUCGUCGCUGAAUAUGUUUGCAUUUGGUUUGAGGCGUCUUUUGCAGGUUAAAGCGAAGCGCUUAUUGCCAUCGACUUGUCCCCCAAUUCACUUAGGCGGGCACUGGGCUGCAGCUAAGUCCCCGAGCGAGAGGUUUUCCCUCCACUCGGUAGGAUUUCAGACACUUAGGCGAGCACUGGGCCGCAGCUAAGCCCCCGAGUGGGAGGUCUGCUCUCCACUCGGUAGGAUUUCAGAAACUUAGGCGAGCACUGGGCUGCAGCUAAGCCCCCGAGUGGGAGGUCUGCUCUCCACUCAGUAGGAUUUCAAACACUUAGGCGAGCACUGGGCUGCAGCUAAGCCCCCGAGUGGGAGGUCUGCUCUCCACUCGGUAGGAUUUCAGACACUUAGGCGAGCACUGGGCUGCAGCUAAGCCCCCGAGUGGGAGGUCUACUCUCCACUCGGUAGGAUUUCAGACNNNNNNNNNNNNNNNNNNNNNNNNNNNNNNNNNNNNNNNNNNNNNNNNNNNNNNNNNNNNNNNNNNNNNNNNNNNNNNNNNNNNNNNNNNNNNNNNNNNNNNNNNNNNNNNNNNNNNNNNNNNNNNNNNNNNNNNNNNNNNNNNNNNNNNNNNNNNNNNNNNNNNNNNNNNNNNNNNNNNNNNNNNNNNNNNNNNNNNNNNNNNNNNNNNNNNNNNNNNNNNNNNNNNNNNNNNNNNNNNNNNNNNNNNNNNNNNNNNNNNNNNNNNNNNNNNNNNNNNNNNNNNNNNNNNNNNNNNNNNNNNNNNNNNNNNNNNNNNNNNNNNNNNNNNNNNNNNNNNNNNNNNNNNNNNNNNNNNNNNNNNNNNNNNNNNNNNNNNNNNNNNNNNNNNNNNNNNNNNNUAAGCCCCCGAGUGGGAGGUCUGCUCUCCACUCGGUAGGAUUUCAGACACUUAGGCGAGCACUGGGCUGCAGCUAAGCCCCCGAGUGGGAGGUCUGCUCUCCACUCGGUAGGAUUUCAGAAACUUAGGCGAGCACUGGGCUGCAGCUAAGCCCCCGAGUGGGAGGUCUGCUCUCCACUCGGUAGGAUUUCAAACACUUAGGCGAGCACUGGGCUGCAGCUAAGCCCCCGAGUGGGAGGUCUGCUCUCCACUCGGUAGGAUUUUUGAAUUGGUGGCGCAACUCGGAAGGAGAGGGUAGCAGUCGACCUGCACCUCGUCCUCCUUGCGGAACGCAUGUUGUACUUGUACUUAGGCGAGUUCUUGGACUGCAGCUAGGCCUCCGAGUGGAAGGCUGGCUUACCACUCGGUAGGAUUUUAUUUAUCUUAGGCGAGUACUUGGACUGCAGCUAAGCCUCCGAGUGGAAGGCUGGCUUACCACUCGGUAGGAUUUUAUUUAUCUUAGGCGAGUACUUGGACUGCAGCUAAGCCUCCGAGUGGAAGGCUGGCUUACCACUCGGUAGGAUUUUAUUUAUCUUAGGCGAGUACUUGGACUGCAGCUAAGCCUCCGAGUGGAAGGCUGGCUUACCACUCAGUAGGAUUUUAUUUAUCUUAGGCGAAACGGAUUUUACAGCUAAGCCUUCGUGUGGGAGACUGACUCACCACUCGGUUAGGAUUUGUUUUUACAGACUUAGGCGAAUCGGAUUCGCAGCUAAGCCACCCACUGGGGGAUUGUUUUAUAUGGACAAAAGUAAUAACAAUCACUGGGAAAACUAUAAAGCUCUUGUCUUUGAUAAAUAAACUACAGGAGUACUUUUAUUACAACUCAUCCGAGUGAAUACCUAAGUGUAAAAGGGGCGGAGAAGCUCCGCGUUCCAAGCUCGGGGCUCGUCAAUCUGAUGCUUGACAUUGUAAAGACGGUAUGCUCCAUUGUGGAGAACCUUGGUGACCAUGAAGGGACCUUCCCAAGAAGGAGCAAGCUUGUGUGGUUUCUGCUGGUCCACUCGGAGAACUAAAUCUCCUUCCUGGAAGGCUCGACUCUUCAUGUUUUUGGCGUGGAAGCGACGCAAGUCUUGUUGAUAAAUGGUCGAUCUGAUCAGAGCCAUCUCUCUUUCUUCCUCUAAAAGGUCGACUGCGUCCUGCCGCGCUUGUUCUGCUUCAGCUUCGGUGUAGAGCUCGACUCGGGGAGCGUUGUGGAGAAGAUCACUCGGCAAGACUGCUUCAGCUCCGUAGACCAAGAAGAAUGGAGUUCUUCCAGUCGACCGGUUGGGUGUGGUCCUUAACCCCCAAAGCACCGAGGGAAGUUCGUCAACCCAUGCACCAGCCGCAUGCUUGAGAUCACGCAUCAAACGGGGCUUCAACCCUUUGAGAAUUAAACCGUUGGCUCAUUCUGCCUGUCCAUUCGUCUGCGGAUGGGCAACUGAAGCAUAGUCGACUCGCGUGCCUUGAGACGUGCAGAAAGCUCUGAAUUCUUCAGAAUCGAAGUUUGACCCGUUAUCAGUGAUGAUGUUGUGCGGGACUCCAUAUCUAAAUAUCAGUUCUCGGAUGAAGCUGACAGCGGUACCAGCAUCGAGGUUCUUGAUGGGUUUGGCCUUAAUCCACUUGGUAAACUUGUCGACUGCUACCAGCACAUGUGUGAAACCGCUUCUUCCUGUUCUCAAUGGGCCAACCAUAUCCAAACCCCAUACAACAAAGGGCCAGACAAGUGGUAUGGUCUUUAAGGCUGAGGCAGGCUUGUGUGACAUAUUGGAGUAAAAUUGACAUCCCUCACACUUGUCGACUAUCUCCUUCGCCAUUUCAUUCGCUCUGGGCCAAUAAAAACCAGCUCGGUAUGCUUUGGCCACGAUGGUCCGAGAAGACGCAUGAUGGCCACAGGUCCCCGAGUGGAUGUCAUUGAGAAUCAUUCGACCUUCCUCCGGUGUUAUGCAUUUCUGGCUGACUCCAGUCGCACUUUCUCUGUACAACUGACCUCUCAUGACGGUGAAGGCUUUGGACCGGCGGACGAUCUCUCGAGCUUCUUCUUCAUUCUCGGGGAGUUCCUUCCUCAAAAUAUAGGCGAUGUAGGGCACUGUCCAAUCGGGAGUGAUGACCAAAACUUCCAUGAUCAAGUCGACCACCGCUGGGACCUCGACUUCAGUCGGAUCUGUGGCGCUUUUAGGCUGCGGGGCUUCUGCAGUGAAAGGAUCCUCUUGAACCGAUGGCGUGUAGACAUGUUCCAAAAACACGCCACUCGGAAUGGCUUCCCUCUUGGAACCUAUCUUUGCCAAGUCAUCGGCUGCUUGAUUUUUCAGUCGGGGAACGUGAUGGAGUUCUAACCCUUCGAAUUUCUUUUCAAGCUUCCUCACUGCAUUGCAGUAUCUAGUCAUGGAUGGGCUUCUCACGUCCCACUCCUUCAUCACCUGAUUGACCACCAAAUCUGAGUCGCCGUAAACCAUAAGGCGACGGACGCUGAGUGAAAUGUCCAUGCGCAACCCAUACAACAGUGCUUCAUAUUCUGCUUCAUUGUUGGAGGAAUCAAAGUGGAUCUGGAGCACAUAUCUGAGCUUAUCUCCUCGGGGAGAAACCAAAACUACCCCAGCACCAGAACCAUUUAACAUCUUAGAGCCAUCAAAGAACAUGGUCCAAUGCUCCGAGUGAACUUGAGUCGGCUGCUGCUGUUCAAUCCACUCGGCAAGGAAAUCUGCUAUAGCCUGGGACUUAAUGGCUUUCUUUGCCUCGAAUUUGAUAUCAAGGGGAAGGAGUUCAAUCGCCCAUUUAGCCACUCGACCAGUUGCAUCUCUGUUGUGCAGAAUCUCCGACAAUGGUGCGUCGCUGACGACUAUAAUGUCAUGAUCAGAGAAAUAAUGAGCAACCUUCUUCAUGGUCAUGUAGAUCCCAUAUACGAGCUUCUGAUAAUGAGGAUAUCUUUGCUUCGAUCGGGUCAAAACUUUAGAGAGAUAAUACACUGGGCGCUGAACUUUGAAGGCUUUCCCUUCUACUUCCCGCUCGACCGUAAGUAUUGUACUGACGACUUGUCCUGUGGCUGCAAUAUAAAGCAACAGUGGCUCUUUACUGAUUGGAGCGGCAAGCACCGGCUAGGUGGAGAGCAGAGUUUUUAACUCGGCAAACGCUGCAUCAGCUUUUGGAGUCCACUCGAACUUGUCUGCCUUCUUCAUCAGUCGGUAAAGGGGCAACGCCUUUUCACCGAGGCGAGAGAUGAAUCGACUUAACGCGGCCAGGCAUCCAGUAAGCUUCUGGACAUCGUGCACACGCACAGGGCGUUUCAUUCGGAGUAUGGUGCCAACUUUUUCUGGGUUAGCAUCGAUUCCUCGUUCCGAAACGAGAAAACCGAGUAACUUCCCACCAGGUACUCCGAAUGUGCACUUUGAAGGAUUGAGCUUGAUAUCAUACCUCCUGAGAUUGGCAAAUGUUUCAGCUAAGUUAGUCAACAGGUCGGAACCCUUUCGCGACUUGACCACGAUAUCAUCCAUGUAUGCUUCCACAUUCCAACUAAUUUGAGUGAGUAAACACUUUUGAAUCAUUCUCAUGAAUGUGGCUCCGGCAUUCUUGAGGCCGAAAGGCAUGGUGAUAUAGCAGAAGCACCCGAAUGGGGUGAUGAAAGCUGUUUUGAUUUCAUCGGGCCCAUACAGACGGAUCUGAUGAUACCCGGAAUAAGCGUCCAGAAAAGACAAUCUCUCGCACCCUGCGGUCGAGUCGACAAUUUGGUCGACGCGAGGGAGAGGAAAAUGAUCUUUCGGGUAGGCCUGAUUGAUAUGUUUGAAAUCAAUGCACAUACGAAGGGAAUUGUCCUUUUUGCGAACCAUAACGACAUUGGCGAGCCACUCGGAGUGGUAUAUCUCUCGGAUGAACUCUGCUGCAAGGAGUCGAGCCACCUCUUCGCCAAUGGCUUUUUUGUUCUGAACAGCGGACCGUCGAAGAUGUUCUUUAACGAGUUUUGCCUUUGAAUCGACUCUAAGGCGAUGCUCAGCCAGUCCCCUGGGAACACCUGGCAUGUCAGCUGGCUUCCAUGCGAAGAUGUCCCAGUUCUCACGGAGGAACUGGAUGAGCGCUUCUUCCUAUUUAGAGUCGGGUGUAGUGGAAAUAUGGGUCGGAGCUGCAUUGGGGUCAGUCGGGUGGAUGUGAACUGGCUUCGUCUCACCGGACGACUGAAAUGCUGACUCUGUGGCGGGCUUCUUGGCUCGCAGUAAAUCACUCGGAUCUGCGUUCUUCUUGUACCCCUCUAGCUCUAUCACUGUUAUCUGGUCAUCCGCAAUCUUUGAGCCUUUCUGGAAACACUCUUCUGCUUUCUUCCGGUUACCAGUGACGGUGAUCACGCCUUUGGGGCCAGGCAUCUUUAACUUGAGGUACACGUAACAUGGUCGAUCCAUGAAGCGGGCGUAGGCUGGUCUUCCCAAGAUAGUGUGGUAGGCGCUCUGGAAAUCCACGAUUUCAAAUGUCAGCUUCUCUUUGCGGAAAUGCUUCGAGUCACCGAACACCACAUCCAGAGCUAUUUGGCCGAGUGACUCAGCCUUCUUUCCUGGGAUGACUCCGUGAAAACUCAUGUUGCUGGAACUGAGCCUGGACAUCGGAAUGCCCAUUCCCUUGAGCGUCUCUGCAUAUAGUAUGUUCAACCCGCUGCCGCCAUUCAUCAAUACCUUCGUCAGUCGAGUGCCUUCGACGACCGGGUCGGCCACCAGUGCUUGCCUCCCAGGGGUGGCAAUAUGAGUAGGAUGGUCCGACUGGUCGAAAGUAAUGGGAGUUUGCGACCAUCUCAGAUAGUUUGGUGUUGCUGGUGCGACCAUAUUGACUUCACGGUUGAUCACUUUCAGUCGACUUUUGCUCUCUACAUCAGCAAAAAUCAUCAGAGUGAAGUUGACAUGAGGGUACUCACCAUCACUGUCCUGCUUGUCCUCAGCCUUGUCUGACUCCUUCUCUUUGUCCUUCAGCUGUUUCCCUUGGAACUGCUGGAUUAAGAGCCGGCACUGGCGAGUGGUAUGCUUUGGGUAGAUGAAGUUACCCUCUUCGUCUUUCUUCGUGUGGAUAUGACACGGCAGGUCCAUCACAUCAUUACCCUCCUUAUCUUUUACCUUCUUGGGGUUCCAAGAUCCUUUGGGCUUCCCUUUAAAUUUGCCCUGUGUCACGGCUAGAGCCUCUCCAGGAGCUGCUGGCUCGGCCUUCCGCUUCUGCUUCCGACUGGAGUUUCCUUUAUCCGACUAACUCGGCUUGUACUUGCCGCUCCGGAGUCGGUCCUCUUCUUCGCCGUUGGCGUACUUGGUGGCUAUUUCCAUCAUCCGACUCAGGGUCAUGUCUCCAGUUCGACCAAACUUCAGGCUCAACUCUUUGUUCUUGACGCCAUCUUUGAAGGCGCAAACCGCUUGAUGGUCCGACACAUUCUCUACAGUGUGAUGCAAAGUGAUCCACCUCUGGAUGUAAUCCCUCAGUGUUUCACUCGACUUUUGUACACAAACUUGUAGCUCAGUUAAUCCAGCAGGUCGCUUGCAAGUUCCCUCAAACGUCCUGACGAACACUCGAGAAAGAUCUACCCAGGUGUAAAUGUUGCUGGGAGCUAACUGAUUCAACCAUGCCCUGGCUGAACCUCCUAGAAUAAGUGGCAAAUGUUUCAUGGCCACCUCAUCAUUACCGCCACCAAUCUGAACAGCCACUCGGUAGUCUUCGAGCCAAGUUUCAGGCUUAGACUCUCCGGUGAACUUAUUCACCCCAUUCGCCAACCUGAAGUUGGGGGGUAUCACUGCGGUUCUGAUCGCUCUGCGAAAACAUUCUGGACCUGAAACAUGGACUCGGCUGCUUGUGGGCACAUCUCUGUCAUGACCACCUCUAUGAGCUCUGUUUCAGUCGACCAAACCUUGCACGAUGAUGGAUCUCGCGUCAAAGCCUGGCUCUCUGGGGUCGACUGGAGCUCUCUGCCCAACACUGAGCUGGCUUCUAUCAUCUUGCUGCCGAUGGGCGUUAGACCCACUUCUCGGAGGAGGAGUGGGCACUCGACGCCUGUCAUCACGAUCAAAUCGAUCAUCAUAGUGGUCCCGCCGGCCUUCACGUCCCACGCGCCUCGGAGGCGACCUUGGACUGUCAGCUGACUGAAUAGUAUUCGCAGCAACAGAUCGACUGUGAAUCCUGUUAGGUGACUGUGACACAGCUGAAUUCUGAUCUCCUGCUGCCCGGAGCAAAUCUCUGAUCUGCAUCAAGCCUCUUCCAGCCUCUGACUGAGAGGGCUGAAUUGACUCUGCUAUGCGGGCUGCAGCUGCCAAAUUCUGAAUUGGGGUUCGAUAUACCUGAGUUGGUUGCGGAAAGAGCUGACGUCGAUUGGAGUUAGUCGCUCGUUGACGCGCAUGCUCGUCGAGUGCUCGCUGAAGGUUCUCCAGUCGAGUGUGUUCAGCCAGGUUGGCUAAACGCGCCUCUUCCAGGGCACGAGCCUCAGGAGUUUCUCCUGCAAUGGGAGUAUGCAGGGCAUCCAUGUUCUGGCGGCGAAGUUCUUCCCUCUGCUGGGAAGUGAGCGGCUCGGGUUGGUACUCUUCAUGGGCUUGAGCAGGGUCAUCCUCGUCGUCCAUCCCGUCGCCACGGGGGAAACCGGGAGGACUACGGGGCCCAUUGACCAUCAGGACCUCCGCCGUCGGAUCACUGCUAUCGCACUCGGAUGCAGCCUCUACAGAGCCAGUCGACAGGUCGAAUAGGCCGUAGAGAGAUCCGUCAGGCUCAAUCGCCGCGACUUGGGUGGUGGCCGAUUGGCGAGCCACUGCGUGUCUCACCCAUCGCUGGAGCCUCAACCGACCGGAGCGCUUGCGCUGGCGGGAGACAGGGAGGGAGGACGGCGCAGGAGUCGACCGGUAUGGGGUCGACGGCUGCCGCAGCAAGACGCUGCGGACACACACCCGAAAGUGCAUCGCCCCGCGGACGGGGAGCGCUCCGAUGUCGAGUGGUGCCUCCUGGAGCCAAGCGGAGUCGUCGGCGAUGAAAGUGAGCGCACCGAGACGGAUCUCGUGGCCCUCGACCAGAGCUCUGCCAGAAACCAUGAUGAAGGCGAUCGGACAAAUUGCAACUUCUCCAAAAAAGUCGCUAAGACACCUGCCCCACGGUGGGCGCCAACUGUCGUGGUUCUAAGUCUGACAGUAGAAUGGGGGGUAAGUAUGGAAAGGCAAGGUCCUAGCUAUGGAGUAGUUGUACACACGGGUGUUUAGCGAGUUCAGGCCCUUCUCUGAGGAAGUAACAGCCCUACGUCUCGGAGCCCGGAGGCGGUCGACUGAUCUCUGUGUAUAUGAGUUACAGGGGUGCGAAACUUUCUACCAGUGGAGGGGGGUGGCUUAUAUAGAGGACGCCAGGACCCCAGCCAGCCCACGUAGGGGGGGUAAAAGUACAUUAAGGCUGGGCGUUAUUGGUAACGCCCUACAUAAAGUGUCAUCAUGACCAUUAAGACUAUUUAAUUACAAACCGUUUGGAUGCAGAGUAGAUCCUGAACUUCCGAUAGUCGAGUGCGUCUUCAUGGUCGAGUGUCUUCUAGCCGGUCGAGUGGAGUCUCCCUUGGUCGAGUGGAGCUUCUUUUGGUCGACUGGAAGGUAGCUUCAUAUGAUAAUGUCCUUGGGCAUGGUAUCCUAGAUAGGUCCAUGACCCUACCCUAGGUACAUAACCUCAUCAGUGACCCCGUGGACGAAAAAGGUCUGAACAUUUUUCUGAUUUGCACACACCCUGUCGAUCCUGGACACACCAGAAAAGGCCAAUCUUUUUUAUUUAGCUGCCUAUGUUUUUACACAAAACUAUGAAGAACAUAGAGGGCAGCUUUGGGUCACGGAAAAAACUUAUACUGUGUGCAAAAGAAAUCAUGAUUUCAGCAGCACUGAAUAUGUACAGCAAAGGUCGAAACAAUUUAUCAAAAAAUGUGUCUGUGUUUCAUUCUUCCGCAAUACAAUAAGAAGUCCACCACUAAAGCUUUUUCCUCCUCCACAAGUAAAGUCCCUUAUCCUCCGGUCGGCGUCGCCGUCGGUCCGCCCCAUCUCUGAUGGCCUCUGGGCCAUGGAGUCGCCGAGGAUCCCAGCCCUUGUUCUCCUCCUUGUUAGAUUUAGCGUCUUGGUUGGGGUUGGGUGGAGGCGGCGAUGUCCCUUAAUAGGAAUAAUGUAUGAUUGGUUAUCUUUGUAAGUAUCUUCGAGUUAUCAGUUUGGUUUGGCCUACUAGAUUUAUCUUUCUUGCAAUGUUAGAAGUGCUUAGCUUUGGGUUCAAUCUUGCGGUGUCCUUUCCCAGUGACAGCAGGGGCAGCAAGGCACGUAUUGUAUUGUUGUCAUCGAGGAUAAAAAGAUGGGGUUUAUAUCAUAUUGCUUGAGUUUAUCCCUCUACAUCAUGUCAUCUUGCCUAAUGUGUUACUUUGUUCUUAUGAAUUUAAUACUCUAUAUGCAAGCUGGAUAGCGGUCAAUGUGUGGAGUAAUAGUAGUAAAUGCAGGCACGAGUCGGUCUACUUGUCGUGGACGUGAUGCCUUGAUACGUCUCCAACGUAUCUAUAAUUUUUUAUUGUUCCAUGCUAUUAUAUUACCCGUUUUGGAUGUUUAUGGACUUUACUUUACACUUUUAUAUUAUUUUUGGGACUAACCUACUAACCGGAGACCCAACCCGUAUUGCUGUUUUUUUUGCCUAUUUCAGUGUUUUGAAGAAAAGGAAUAUCAAACAGAGUCCAAACGGAAUGAAACCUUCAGGAGCGUGAGUUUUGGAACAAACGUGAUCCAAGGGACUUGGAGUGCAAGUCAAGAAGCAAUCGAGGCGGCCACCAGGGUGGAGGGCGCCCCCUAUCUCGUGGGCCCCUCGGGCGUCCACCGACCUACUUCUUCCUCCUAUAUAUACCCACGUACCACGAGAACAUCAAAGGCGACCACGAAAAACUAUUUCCACCACCGUAACCUUCUGUAUUCACGAGAUCCCAUCUUGGAGCCUUCGUCAUUGCUCCAUCGGAGAGGGAAUCAACCAUGGAGGGCUUCUACAUCAACACCAUAGCCUCUCCAAUUAGUUGUGAGUAGUUUACCACAGACCUUCGGGUCCAUAGUUAUUAGCUAGAUGGCUUCUUCUCUCUCUUUGAAUCUCAAUAUCAUGUUCUCCUCGAUCUUCUUGGAGAUCUAUACGGUGUAACUCUUUUUGCGAUGUGUUUGUCUCGAUCCGAUGAAUUGUGGGUUUAUGAUCAAGUUUAUCUAUGAGAAAUAUUUGAAUCUCCUCUGAAUUCUUUUAUGUGUGAUUAAGUUAUCUUUGCAAGUCUCUUCAAAUUAUCAGUUUGGUUUGGCCUACUAGAUUGAUCUUUCUUGCAAUGGGAGAAGUUCUUAGCUUUGGGUUCAAUCUUGCGGUGUCCUUUCCCAGUGACAGCAGGGGCAGCAAGGCAUGUAUUGUAUUGUUGUCAUCGAGGAUAAAAAGAUGGGGUUCAUAUCAUAUUGCAUGAGUUUAUCCCUCUACAUCAUGUCAUCUUUCUUAAUGCGUUACUCUGUUAUUUAUGAACUUAAUACUCUAGAUGCAUGCUGGAUAGCGGUCGAUGUGUGGAGUAAUAGUAGUAGAUGCAGGCAGGAGUCGGUCUACUUGUUAUGGACGUGAUGCCUAUAUACAUGAUCAUGCCUAGAUAAUCUCAUAAUUAUUUGCUUUUCUAUCAAUUGCUCGACAGUAAUUUGUUCACCCACCGUAAUACUUAUGCUAUCUUGAGAGAAGCCACUAGUGAAACCUAUGGCCCCCGGGUCUAUCUUUUAUCAUAUAAGCUUUCAAUCUACUUUUAUUUGCAUCUUUACUUUUCCAAUCUAUAUUAUAAAAUACCAAAAAUAUAUUUAUCUUAUCAUACUAUCUCUAUCAGAUCUCACUUUCGUAAGUGGCCGUGAAGGGAUUGACAACCCCGUUAUUGCGUUGGUUGCGAGUUCUUGUUUGUUUGUGUAGGUGCGUCGGACUUUUGAGGAGCCUCCUACUGGAUUGAUACCUUGGUUCUCAAAAACUGAGGGAAAUACUUACGCUACUAUUGUUGCAUCACCCUUUCCUCUUCAAAGAAAACCAACGCAAGCUCAAGACGUAGCAUGCCUAUAUACAUGAUCAUGCCUAGAUAUUCUCAUAACUAUGCACUUUUCUAUCAACUGCUCGACAGUAAUUUGUUCACCCGCCGUAAUAUUUAUGCUAUCUUGAGAGAAGCCACUAGUGAAACCUAUGGCCCCGGGUCUAUUUUCCAUCAUAUAAGUUUCCGAUCUACUUUAUUUAGCAAUCUUUACUUUUCAAUCUAUAUCAUAAAAAUACCAAAAAUAUUUAUCUUAUUAUUAUCUCUAUCAUAUCUCACUUUCGCAAGUGGCCGUGAAAAGAUUGACAACCCCUUUAUCGCGUUGGUUGCGAGGUUCUUGUUUGUUUAUGUAGGUACGAGGGACUUGCGUGUAGCCUCCUACUGGAUUGAUACCUUGGUUUUCAAAAGUUGAGGGAAAUACUUACGCUACUUUGCUGCAUCACCCUUUCCCGCUUCAAGGGAAAACCAACGCAGUGCUCAAGAGGUAGCAAGAAGGAUUUCUGGCGCCGUUGCCGGGGAGGUCUACGCACAAGUCAAGACAUACCAAGUACCCAUCACAAACUCUUCUCCUCGCAUUACAUUAUUUUCCAUUUGCCUCUUGUUUUCCUUUCCCCCACUUCACCCUUGCCGUUUUAUUCGCGCUCCCUUUCCCGUUCGCCUCUUUUUCCGCUUGCUUCUUGUGGUACUUGCUUUCACUAUGUCUGAAACUGGGGAGGUUAUCAUUGAUAAGGACAAUAGUAAUAACAUGGGAAACUUUGAUGCUUUUGAUGAUCCUACUGAAGAAACCACUAUCUUACAUACUAAAAGAUUUCGAAUCGGUAGUGGUAAUAUUAUUGGAAAAGGGGUUAUUCAAGAUUCUUUACUUGUGUUGGUGCUUUACCUUCUAUGGGUGGAUCUAUUCUUCAUAGAACUAGUAGUCUUGCGGAUGCUAUAUCCUUGCUUAUAGUUGAACUUGAAAGACAGUUUAUGCAUAUGCAUCCUUGCAUACAAAGGAUUUUUCUAGAAUUUUCCAAUAUUGAGCAUUCUUCUGUUAAGCGCGCAGCUACUAUCUUUUUGGCACAUGAGUUCAGAUUUAUAAUAAAAGAAGCCAGAGAAAUCUUUGCGCACUAUAGGGUGGACGCUGGUCGCCCUCCCAUUUAGGCGAUCCUUUUUAAUCAAGAAGACAUAAUGCGUUUACAAUCCUUAGAUCGUGUUGCUUUUAAUGAAAACCUUAGGAAAAAGGUUCCUACCGAUGUUCUAGUUGAUAGAAUCUCUGAACUUAAUGAUGAUUUUGCUAUUCAUAACAAUGGGUUGGGAUUUUCUCUUGAGCAAAGGCUCAUGACUUUUUGCCAAAAGAAUGCUUAUAAUGAUGAAUUGGUUGUGUAAUAUGAAGGGCCAAAGGAGGAACCCAUACCUCCCGAGCUUGAUCUUGGGGACUUUUGUCCCAUUAAAUUUAGCCCUUUUGAUUACUUUUGCUUGCCACAAAGAAAACUUGUUGUUGAACGUAGGGAAUAUGAGAUGAGUUUUCGUGAUUUACCUUAUCAUUACGGCAAUAAUUAGAUCUAUUCUCGCUUUUAUGCCUAGCUAGGGGCGUUAAACGAUAGCGCUUGUUGGGAGGCAACCCAAUUUUAUUUUUGUUCUUUACUUUUUGCUCCUGUUUAGUAUUAAAUAAUUCAUCUAGCCUCUGGUUAGAUGUGGUUUUAUGUUUUAGUUAGUGUUUGUGCCAAAUAGAACCUAUAGGAUCAUCUUGGGUGAUAGUUAAUUUGAUCUUGCUAAAAAACAGAAACUUUUGCGCACACGAGAAUAAUUUUAAUAAAUCACAGAAACAUGAUUUUGAGUUGAUUAUUUUUUAAGAAGAUUAAUAGACAAAUUUACUAGGACUUCCUAUUUUCGUAGGACUUUUAAGGUUCUAGAAGUAUUCGAAAGUUACAGAUUACUACAGACUGUUCUGUUUUUGACAGAUUCUGUUUUUUGUGUGUUGUUUGCUUAUUUUGAUGAAUCUAUGGCUAGUAUCGGGGGGUAUGAACCAUAGAUAAGUUGGAAUACUGCAGGUUUAACACCAAUAUAAAUAAAGAAUGAUUUCAUUACAGUACCUUAAAGUGGUGGUUUGCUUUUUUGCACUAACGGAGCUCAUGAGAUUUUUUGUUGAGUUUUGUGUUGUGAAGUUUUCAAGUUUUGGGUAAAGAUUUGAUGGAUUAUGGAAUAAGGAGUGGCAAGAGCCUAAGCUUGGGUAUGCUCAAGGCACCCCAAGAUAAAUUCAAGGACAACCAAAAGCCUAAGCUUGGGGAUGCCCCGGAAGGCAUCCCCUUGUCUUCAUCUAUCAGUAACUUUACUUGGAGCUAUAUUUUUAUUCACCACAUGAUAUGUGUUUUGCUUGGAGCGUCUUGAAUGAUAUGAGUCUUUGAUUUUUAGUUUACCACAAUCAUCCUUGCUGUACACACAUUUUGGGAGAGACACACAUGAAUCGGAAUUUAUUAGAAUACUCUAUGUGCUUCACUUAUAUCUUUUGAGCUAGAUAAUUUUGCUCUAGUGCUUCACUUAUAUCUUUUUAGAGCACGGCGGUGGUUUUAUUUUGUAGAAAUUAUUGAUCUCUCAUGCUUCACUUAUAUUAUUUUGAGAGUCUUUUAGAACAGCAUGGUAUUUGCUUUGGUUAUAAAAUUAGUCCUAAUAUGAUGGGCAUCCAAGUUGGGUAUAAUAAAAAUUGUCAUAGAAAGUGCAUGAAACACUAUAAGAAAUUUGAUACUUGAUAAUUGUUUUGAGAUAUAAAGGUGGUAAUGUUAGAGUCAUGCUAGUUGGGUAAUUAUGAAAUUGAGAAAUACUUGUGUUAAAGUUGGCAAGUCCCGUAGCAUGCACGUAUGGUAAACGUUGUGUGACAAAUGUGUUGCACGGGGUGUUCUUUUGAUUGCCUUCCUUAUGUGUGGAGGUCGGGAUCGCGCGAUGGUUAACUCCUACCAACCCUUCCCCUAGGAGCAUGCGUAGUAGUACUUUGCUUCGAGGGCUAAUAAACUUUUGCAAUAAGUAUAUGAGUUCUUUAUGACUAAUGUGAGCCCAUGGAUUAUACGCACUCUCACCCUUCCACCAUUGCUAGCCUCUCUUGUGCCGCGCAACUUUCGCCAGUAUCAUACACCCACCAUUUACCUUCCUCAAAACAGCCACCAUACCUACCUAUUAUGGAAUUUCUAUAGCCAUUCCAAGAUAUAUUGCCAUGCAACUCUCCACCGUUCCGUUUAUUAUGACACGCUCCAUCAUUGUCAUAUUGCUUUUGCAUGAUCAUGUAGUUGACAUCGUAUUUGUGGCAAAGCUACCGUUAUAAUUCUUUCAUACAUGUCACUCUUGAUUCAUUGCAUAUCCUGGUACACCGCUGGAGGCAUUCACAUAGAGUCAUAUUUUGUUCUAAGUAUUGACUUGUAAUUCUUGAGUUGUAAAUCAAUAAAAGUGUGAUGAUCUUCAUUAUUAGAGCAUUGUCCCAAGUGAGGAAAGGAUGAUGGAGACUAUGAUUCCCCCACAAGUCACUAUGAGACUCCGGACCUCAUGAUAAAUAAAAGAGGCCAAAGAAGCCCAAAUAAAAAAGAGAGGCCAAAGAAGCCCACCCAAAAAAAUGAGAGAAAAAGAGAGAAGGGACAUUGUUACUAUGCUUUUUCCAGACUUGUGCUUCAAAGUAGCACCAUGAUCCUCAUGGUAGAGUCUCCUAUGUUGUCACUUUCAUAUACUUGUGGGAAUUUUUCAUUAUAGAACUUGGCUUGUAUAUUACAAUGAUGGGCUUCCUCAAAAUGCCCUAGGUCUUUGUGAGUAAGCGAGUUGGAUGCACACCCACUUAGUUUCUUUUGUUGAGCUUUCACACAUUUAUAGCUCUAGUGCAUCUGUUGCAUGGCAAUCCCUACUCACUCACGUUGAUAUCUAUUAAUGGGCAUCUCCAUAGGCCGUUGAUACGCCUAGUCAAUGUGAGACUUUCUCCUUUUUUGUCUUCUCCACACAACCUCCAUCAUCAUAUUCUAUUCCACCCAUAGUGCUAUAUCCAUGGCUUACGCUCAUGUAUUGCGUGAGAGUUGAAAACGCUGAAGCGCGUUAAAAAGUAUGAACCAAUUGCUUGGCUGAAACCGGGGUUAUGCAUGAUGGGAGUAUUUUGUGUGACAAAAAUGAAGCAUAGCCUAACUAUAUGAUUUUGUAGGGAUAAGCUUUCUUUGGCUACAUUAUUUUGAUAAGACAUGAUUACUUGUUAGUAUGCUUAAAGUAUUACUAUUUUUAUGUUAAUAUGAACUUUUAUUUUGAAUCAUUUGGAUCUGAACAUUCAUGCCACAAUAAAGAAAAUUACAUUGAGAAAUAUGCUAGGUAGCAUUCCACAUCAAAAAUUCUGUUUUUAUCAUUUACCUACUCGAGGACGAGCAGGAAUUAAGCUUGGGGAUGCUUGAUACGUCUCCAAGGUAUCUAUAAUUUUUUAUUGUUCCAUGCUAUAUAUUACCCGUUUUGGAUAUUUAUGGGUUUUACUAUACACUUGUAUAUCAUUUUUUGGACUAACCUAUUAACCGGAGGCCCAGCCCAAAUUGUUGUUUUUGCCUAUUUCAGUGUUUCGCAGAAAAGGAAUAUCAAACGGAGUCCAAACGGAAUGAAACCUUCGGGAGAGUUAUUUUUAAAACAAACGCAAUCCAGGAGACUUGGAGUGGAUGUCAAGAAAAAAACAAGGCGGCCAUGAGGCAGGGAGGCGCGCCCUAGGGGGGUGGGCGCGCCCCCCACCCUCGUGGGCCCCUCGUGGCUCCUCUGACCGACUUUCUUCGCCUAUAUAUAUCUACAUACCCUGAAAACAUCCAGGAGCACCACGAAACCCUAUUUCCACAACCGCAACCUUCUGUACCCGUGAGAUCCCAUCUUGGAGCUUUUUCCGGCGCUCCGCCGGAGGGGGAAUCGAUCACGGGGGGCUUCUACAUCAACACCAUAGCCUCUCCGAUGAGUUGUGAGUAGUUUAUCACAGACCUUCGGGUCCAUAGUUAUUAGCUAGAUGGCUUCUUCUCUCUCUUGAAUCUCAAUACAAAGUUCUCCUCGAUCUUCUUGGAGAUCUAUUCGAUGUAAUUCUUUUUGCGAUGUGUUUGUGGAGAUCCAUGAAUUGUGGGUUUAUGAUCAAGUUUAUCCAUGAGAAAUAUUUGAAUCUCCUCUAAAUUCUUUUAUAUAUGAUUGGUUAUCUUUGCAAGUCUCUUCGAAUUAUCAGUUUGCUUUGGCCUACUAGAUUUAUCUUUUUUGCAAUGGGAGAAGUGCUUAGCUUUGGGUUCAAUCUUGCGGUGUCCUUUCCCAGUGACAGCAGGGGCAGCAAGGCACGUAUUGUAUUGUUGCCAUCGAGGAUAAAAAGAUGGGGUUUAUAUCAUAUUGCUUGAGUUUAUCCCUCUACAUUAUGUCAUCUUGCCUAAUGCGUUACUUUGUUCUUAUGAACUUAAUACUCUAGAUGCAUGCUGGAUAGCGGUCGAUAUGUGGAGUAAUAGUAGUAGAUGCAGGCAGCAAUCGGUCUACUUGUCGCGGACGUGAUGCCUAUAUACAUGAUCAUGCCUAGAUAUUCUCAUAACUAUGCACUUUUCUAUCAAUUGCUCGACAGUAAUUUGUUCACCACCGUAAUACGUAUGCUAUCUUGAGAGAAGCCACUAGUGAAACCUCUGGCCCACGGGUCUAUCUUUUAUCAUAUAAGCUUUCAAUCUACUUUUAUUUGCAUCUUUACUUUUCCAAUCUAUAUUAUAAAAAACCAAAAAUAUAUUUAUCUUAUCAUACUAUCUCUAUCAGAUCUCACUUUCGCAAGUGGCCGUGAAGGGAUUGACAACCCCUUUAGCGCAUUGGUUGCGAGGUUCUUGUUUGUUUGUGUAGGUACGAGGGACUUGCGCGUAGCCUCCUACUGGAUUAAUACCUUGGUUCUCAAAAGCUGAGGGAAAACUUACGCUACUUUGCUGCAUCACCCUUUCCUCUUCAAGGGAAAACCAACACAGGGCUCAAGUGGUAGCAAUGGGUUUUCCACUGAAUCUCACAUUCCAGGAUCCUAGCAUUUAUAGCAUGAAAUAUAAACUCUUAAUAAUGAACCUGGAAAUAUAAUAAUAUUAUAUUAUUGCCUCUAGGGCAUAUUUCCAAUAGUAUUCAACUUGCACUGAAGUCAAUAAUCUAGUUAGCACAUUUUUAUUUACACCAAUGGCAGUCUGGUGUUUGUCCAUACUCAGCUUGUGGUAUAGCCUUCAUCCCAUUGGAUCUUGAAAACUUCAUAUCCACGUGUAUCAUAUGCAUUUCAAUGCCUCUAUCAUGAUGGCUUUGUAUGUAUUGAAUCACUAGAAGGACCUAUGAUUCCUUGGACUGAGCUAUAGAACCACUAUUAAGUAUAGUGUUUCAUUGGCACAAUCAUCUAGAAAUCAUAACAAUCUCAUAAAUGAAAGUGUUAUUGAUCACUCUCCAUUGUUGCUUCUAAAGCAACAAUCUACUCAGCCCUCUGUUAUAGAUUUCACCACAGUAACCAACAACCCAACAAACACACUGCAAAAAACAUUACAUCGGAUAGAACUCCAAGAAGAUCGAGGAGAACAUUGUAUUGAAGAUCAAAGAGAGAAGAAGCCACUAGCUACUAGCUAUGGACUCGUAGGUCUGCGGUGAAUUGCUCACACAUCAUCGGAAGGCGGCACGGAUGAUGCAGAAGCCCUCAGUGAUCGAUUCCCCCUCCGGCGGAGUACCGGUAAAGCCCUCCAGAUGGAAUCGCGGAAGAAUAGAAGCUUGUGGUGGUGGAAAAAGUGUUUCGGAUGGCUCUCUGUUGGUUUGGGAAUAUUUGUGAAUUUAUAGGCUUGGAAUUAGGUCAAACGGAGUUGCGUGGGCCCAUAAGCUCAGGGGGCGCACUUUGUGAGCUCGUGGCUCUCUUGUAGCUCUUCUGGCCUCCUCCCGAACCUUCUAGGACCCCUUCUGGUCCAGAGAAAAUAACCAUAAUUCAUCGUAUUUGGACUUCGUUUGGUAUUGUUUUUCUGAAAAGCCAAAACAAGUAAAAAAUAGGAACUAGCACUGGGCAAUGGGUUAAUAGGUUAGUCCCAAAAGUGGUAUAAAAUAGCAUAAAAAUGCAUAUAAUCCAGGAUUGAUAAUAUAAUAGCAUGAAACAAUCAAAAGUUAUAGAUAUAUUGGAGACGUAUCAGCAUUCCCAAGCUUAAUUCCUGCUCGUCCUUGAGUAGGUAAAUGAGAAUAACAGAAUUUUUGUGUAUACAUGUAUUAUUUGUAGUGAGAUAUGUACAUGACAAAGAGCGAUACUACUGCCAGGAUCAGACCAAUGUACAUGACAUAAGAAAGAGGUGGCACAUCUCUGAAUGCAAGGUCCAUGGCAACAAGCAGACGCAAUGGAAAAGACAGAUUGUUUUGUCAUCUUUUGCAGCGCCAUCCUUUAGUAUGUCAGGGAGCAGCUAAGGAAUGAAAUCAUGCUCCAUUUUGGAUCAUAAGAUUUUAAUUUGACCAUAAGCUAAGCCUCCACCACACGAAAAGUGAUGAAAAUACAAAAUUUGUUAUGUGAUGCAAUACAAUGCAAAUCUUAUGUACUCCCUCUGUAAAGAAAUAUAAGAGCGUUUAGAUCAUUACUUUACACGUUACCAUCGUAAUCUCAAGCUUUGAAUUUAGUACUACUCAUUAAUCAAUUGUGUGAUCUUAAGAAAAUGCUAUACCUCUAAAAUGAACAACUAAAAGGUCAUGAGACACGUAGUGAUCUCCAAAUAAAUUGGUUGUUCUAGGGGAAAAGUGAUGAAAAGUGUUGUUCUAGGGGAAAAGUGAUGACAAGCAUGGAUUAUCUGUUUCGUCAUCUUGGGAGGGGGAGGGUCAUCCACAUGACCACAAGCCAAGCCCACACCCCACGUCAAGUGAUGCAAAUCCCAAUCAUGUCAUGUCAUGAUUUACAAUGCAAAUCUUCUUUAAAACUUUACACAUUGGCAUCACUAUCUUAAGCUUGGCAUUUGGUACUCCCUACGAUCCAUAUUUGUUGUCGCUCAAACGGAUGUAUCUAGCACUAAAAUACAUCUAGAUACAUCUGUUUCAGCGACAACUAAUAUGAAUCAAAGGGAAUACUACUAAUUAGUUGUGUGAUCUUAAUAAAACACCAUGCUUCUAAAAUGAACAGGUCACGAGGCGUGUACCAAUCUCCAGAUGAAUUUGAUGUUCUACAGAAUUCAUAUGUGCGGAAAGAUAAGACUGAAAACCGCACACUUACCCGGGAUAGGAUGGGAUAUUUUGAGAAAUAGAUAAGGAUUAGUUCAGGUUUCUCCCAUAUAUACGAAAUGACUGGACGAUGACUAAUUAAACGAGAGACAACAAACCACUUAUCUUCCUUUAUGACUCAAUUGAUCGAGAGCCUUCCCAAGUUGCUUUUGCGGUUUUGUUGGUCACAAUGCAGAUGCUUUGAACCUUUGCACAACCGUGGGCAUGUGGCUCCCGUUAAAUAGCCACAAGAUACCAUAAAAUUAGCACUUCCAAAGUUCCCAUUUACUCUCUCUUCCUCUCAAGUCUAACCAAAGCCCAACAAACCACCACCUCGGCCAUGGCAACCACCCUCGCCACCGACGUCCGCCUCUCCAUCGCGCACCAGACCCGCUUCGCCCUCCGUCUCGCCUCCACCAUCUCAUCCAACCCUAAGUCUGCUGCCAGCAAUGCCGCCUUCUCCCCGGUCUCCCUCUACUCCGCACUUAGCCUCCUCGCCGCUGGCGCGGGCAGUGCCACUCGGGACCAACUCGUCGCCACACUCGGGACAGGCAAGGUCGAGGGACUCCACGCGCUCGCCGAGCAGGUGGUCCAGUUUGUGCUCGCCGACGCGUCCUCCACUGGUGGUCCGCNNN
rnacentral:lncRNA from 1 species